rnacentral:tRNA from 1 species
CCCCUGGUGGUCUAGUGGUUAGGAUGCAGCGCUCUCACUGCCGUGGCCCAGGUUCGAUUCCCGGUCAGGGAA